rnacentral:rRNA from 1 species
AUGGCCGCCUCCUCCUCCUCCCCGCACCAACCCAUCACCCCGUCGUGGGGGCGCGUCCGUGGCGGCUACCCUUCCACGCCGUCUCCGUCCGCCCCUGCCGCUCCACAGUCUCCUCCGAAUCCGCAUCCUCCCCGCAGCAGGCGCCGGCACCGGUCGGCGGCGACGACGCCAACGGGCCCACCGGCGUGCCCGUGCCCUUCUCCCGUGCCCUCCCGGGCGGCGGCGGCAGUUGGCUCUUCGGCCGCGUCUCCACCGAGCUCCGCGGCGGGUUCGGCCCCGUCGUCGACUCCUUCGUCGGCUUCUUCCACGCCGUCGACUAGAAGGUACACGGAGAAGUCCAUGCCGGCCGACGAGGGCGCCUACACCAUUGUGGUGAGCAAGGGUUUACAUGAUUGGUCUGUGCGGUUGUUCUACUCUGCAAUCUUGAGGUUGGACAAGGUGGUGAACCCGCCGUUCGAGAAGAGGCCGAAGCAGUUCGGCAUAAGUGGUGCCCUGCCGCCCAAGAAGGACCUCCACCGGUUCGUCAAGUUGCCCAAGGUCAUCCGCAUCCAGCGCUAG